rnacentral:rRNA from 1 species
UUCGGAAUAUUCGGCAAUGGACGAAAGUCUGACCGAGCGACGCCGCGUGCGGGAUGAAGGCCCUUUGGGUUGUAAACCGCUGUCACAGGUGAGCAAAUCAUAUUGGGUGAACAAUCCAGUAUGUUGAGUUAAGCUUGAGAGGAAGCCCCCGCUAAUCACGUGCCAGCAGCGGCGGUAAUACGUGAGGGGCGAACGUUGUUCGGUGUCACUGGGCUUAAAGGGUGCGUAGGUGGUUUCGUAAGUAAGGUGUGAAAGCCCUCGGCUUACCCGGGGAAUUGCGCCUUAUACUGCGAGACUUGAGGAUUUCAGGGGAAUGGGGAACUCCAGGUGUAGCGGUGAAAUGCGCAGAUAUCUGGGGGAAGGCCGGCGGCGAAGGCGCCAUUCUGGGAAAUUCCUGACACUGAGGCACGAAAGCGUGGGGAGCAAACAGGAUUAGAUACCCCCGUAGUCC